UACGUAGGGCGCAAGCGUUAUCCGGAAUUAUUGGGCGUAAAGAGCUCGUAGGCGGUUUGUCGCGUCUGCUGUGAAAGACCGGGGCUCAACUCCGGUUCUGCAGUGGGUACGGGCAGACUAGAGCGAUGUAGGGGAGACUGGAAUUCCUGGUGUAGCGGUGAAAUGCGCAGAUAUCAGGAGGAACACCGAUGGCGAAGGCGGCCUGCUGGGCUGUUGCUGACGCUGAGGCGCGACAGCGUGGGGAGCGAACAGG
rnacentral:rRNA from 1 species